GACGAACGCUGGCGGCGUGCUUAACACAUGCAAGUCGAACGGUAAGGCCCCUUCGGGGGUACACGAGUGGCGAACGGGUGAGUAACACGUGGGUGAUCUGCCCUGCACUCUGGGAUAAGCCUGGGAAACUGGGUCUAAUACCGGAUAUGAGCUCCUGUCGCAUGGCGGGGGUUGGAAAGGUUACUGGUGCAGGAUGGGCCCGCGGCCUAUCAGCUUGUUGGUGGGGUAAUGGCCUACCAAGGCGACGACGGGUAGCCGGCCUGAGGGGGCGACCGGCCACACUGGGACUGAGACACGGCCCAGACUCCUACGGGGGGCAGCAGUGGGGAAUAUUGCACAAUGGGCGAAAGCCUGAUGCAGCGACGCCGCGUGAGGGAUGACGGCCUUCGGGUUGUAAACCUCUUUCAGCAGGGACGAAGCGAGAGUGACGGUACCUGCAGAAGAAGCACCGGCCAACUACGUGCCAGCCGCCGCGGUAA
rnacentral:rRNA from 1 species